GAUGAACGCUGGCGGCGUGCCUAAUACAUGCAAGUCGAGCGAACAGACGAGGAGCUUGCUCCUCUGACGUUAGCGGCGGACGGGUGAGUAACACGUGGAUAACCUACCUAUAAGACUGGGAUAACUUCGGGAAACCGGAGCUAAUACCGGAUAAUAUAUUGAACCGCAUGGUUCAAUAGUGAAAGACGGUUUUGCUGUCACUUAUAGAUGGAACCGCGCCCCAUUAACUAGUUGGUAAGGUAACGGCUUACCAAGGCAACCAUGCGUACCCGACCUCGGAGGUCCAAUCUCGAGUUUGGACCUGGGACAGCGUCCACCCCCCGCCGGGGGGCAGCAAUCCCUAAGCUCCCGGAACAGGGGCAACCCUUACGCAGCCCCGCCGCGGGAUCGAGGACGGUCUCCGGAUCGUAAAGCUCGGUUUUAAGGAGAGAAGAGAUUUGUAAGUACCUAUGCACGUAUUGACGGUACCUAAGCAGAAAGCAACGGCUAACUUCGGG
rnacentral:rRNA from 1 species